CUGACGGUAAACUAUCAAAUAUAAUCUUAAAGUACUUUAUUAGGACAUAUAUAAACUUUUAAACUUAAGAACUACUUUUAAACACAAUACUAAAUAAUUAUAUUUAAUUGAGGCUCUUUAAACAGUUUAAAUUUUUAAAAAAAUUUCGUUUUUUAUCGAGCAGUAGCUGACGUUAGCGAAGUUAUCUCCUAGCAACAGUGAGCUUGUUGUAGCAGCCCUGAAGGAUUAACGGUAAAGAUGGACGUGAACUCGGGGACGGGGCAGCGGCAGGACGCCGCCGGGGACACCACCAUCGGCGGGACAACGAGGCGGUCGGACGUGCUGCAACCCCGGAGCACAGCUCUAGAGGCUGAUAACAGCAGAGAGAGGCAAUGAAGUGAAUUAAGGUUUUAUUUCGACUCAACCAGAGCUGGUGUUUGUUGGACAGACUGAUAAAAACUGUGCUGGUUUGGUCAGUGAACUCCGGGCUGCUCCUUCAGGAUUGAACUCUCAGCAGCUGUAACCUGAUCGACCCACAGCUCAGCAAGCAACCUGUGUACAGACCUUAUAUAUAAUGUCAGUGGUACAGACACAUUCAGACACAUCUUCUGUGAUGAGAGAAUCAAAUGUUGCUCAUGUAGACUGAAAUCCACCAGCAUAAAAUACUUUAACUCAAAAAUAAAAAUAAAGGACUGAAGGGGA